UGGGGAAUAUUGGACAAUGGGCGAAAGCCUGAUGGAGCGACGUCGCGUGAUGGACGAAGUGCUUCGGCACGUAAACAUCUUUUAUGUGGGAUGAAAUUAUUGACAGUACCACAUGAAUAAGGGGCUCCUAACUCUGUGCCAGCAGGAGCGGUAAUACAGAGGCCCCAAGCGUUAUCCGGAAUCACUGGGCGUAAAGGGUGUCGAGGCGGUUGUAUUAGUCGUUCGUAAAAUCUACGAGCUUAACUUGUAGGCGGCGAACGAAACGGUACGACUUGAGGUUUGGAGAGGUGCGUGGAACUCACGGUGUAGGGGUGAAAUCCGUUGAUAUCGUGGGGAACACCAAAGGCGAAGGCAGCGCACUGGCCAAAAUCUGACGCUCACACACGAAAGCUAGGGUAGCGAAGAGGAUUAGAUACCCAGGUAGUCCCUGAGCGGGCUGGCAAGGCGCAU
rnacentral:rRNA from 1 species